CUUGACAACCAGAUCUCCUCUCUGCAGCUGACGCAGAGAGCUGCUCAUGCGUCAUGGGAAGAACUCAGGGGAGAGCAGCUGCAAACAACACCAUCUGAACAGAGGUGAGGCCAGGAGGAAGGCUGUCGCGGGGAGCAGGCGGGAACUGGGAAGUCUGUUUAUCUGGAGCUUUCUCCAGCCAGCCAAGGAGUCCCCAAGACGGCUGUUCUGAGCGGGCAUCCCCGUUGAUUCUAUUGUCCUUUCAAUUUGGGAGGAAACCAGGAACACCUGACAGAAGCUCAAAUCUCCUUCCCUUAAACAAAGAGCCCAGAUUGGAUUCAAAGUCCCCACUGCGAGGCUGAGCCACGUCCUGACUCUGCUCUGACACUGGAGUGUGGCGUCCACAUUAUUCGGGCUCGGCAGCUGGAAGGGAACGCACAGCCCGGAUUCAAAUAGCAGCAUCUGUUAGUGUCUCCCAGGAGAAAAAUUCUCCUUUUGUUGCAUAUUAAGUCAUUAAAGCUCCAAAAAGAAAAAGGGACAUUCAUUUCCCCACCAUAUGCAGACGAUAUUUUAAUGCAGAGGUACCAAGGCAAACGGGCCAGGCGUUUGGAUAACAGGCUGGAGAAGGAAUGUCAGGCACGCGGGAUUCGCUGAGCACCCGAGUCUGUCUGUCCCCUGCAGUGCUGAGACCUCAUCACCUCUGUGCCCAGAGCCUGGCUGAGGCUGAGUCAUCAAUAUUGCCACCAGAGCCAUUGUGCAAACCACACAGGUGGUCUGAAUUCUCCAGGAGCCCUGUGAAAACAGCAAAAUGCAACAGAAGAGACGAAUUUUAAUAGUACAUUUUCUUUAACUCAAUCUAUCCAAAACAUUCAUCACCUCAACAUAUAAUCAAUAUAAAAAUGAUCAACAAAACAUUUUAUACUCACUGCAUAUCUCAAUUCAGACCUAAAUUUUCAUUAGAAAUUCUUGGUCUGUAUUUAGACUCCAUAAACUUUGCAGUUGAGAAAAAGGAGAUUCAAAUGUCCAAGUUGUCCCAAGCAUUCUUAAGAGUUUUCCAAUAACUAUAUCAAGUAGCUCUUCUAAAAUUUAAAUGAACUAAAAACACCUGAAAUUUAAAAAUGAAAAGUUCAGCUCCUUGGUCACACGAUCUGGCAUUUCAAGUGUCCAGUAGCCACACGUGGCCAGUGUGCUGAAUAAUGCAGAUGCAGAAUGCUCCACUGGGGCAAGAAGCUUUGCUGGAUGGGAUAAAUCCAGGCUUUUGUGUUCUCUGGGCUGGGGCACUGACUACUGGUUUAUCCAGUAGUCACGU
rnacentral:lncRNA from 1 species